rnacentral:lncRNA from 1 species
GAGAUAGGAUCUCCCUUUGUUGCCCAGGCUGGCUUCAAGUGAUCCUCUCACCUUGGCUUCCCAAAAUGCGGGAUUACAGGUGUGAGCCAUCAUGCCUGGCCAGUAUUUAUAUUUAUAAACUAAAUCCAGAUAAACAACUUCUUUGUGUCUCUACUGAGUUUGAAACUGGGGGGGUAUGGCUAAUGAUUUCACUUUGCACGGCUCCAUGGGAGAGCAGAUCUAUAGAAAAUAGUGAAUGCCUGGCAAAACAAGGAUUGAUGAUAUUUAUGAGAAGACCUGAAGGACUUAGGAAAAGAUGAACUCUGAGAAGCAACUAUGCAAUCUAAUAUACAUAAGGCUUCAUCCAUUCAUUUGUCUGAUAAAUACUUAUUGAGCAACUAUUCUGUGUUCAGGAGAAAGAGUGGUAAUAUGGAGGAACUUGUACCUUUAAGGAGCUUAUAAUGCACAAAGUACAAUUUCAAAUUCUAGAACAGUUCAGUAAUGUGUUAUAUAGUACUUGAGUGUGUAAGGUGCACAUAUUUUUGUUUUUUUUUAGUGUGUGAGUAUGUGUGUAUGUGUGUAUGCAUGCACAGGAGGAGCAGAGAAAAGUUUUGUUGCUGAUUACCCAUUCAAGAAGAAUGUCUACCAAUUUUCUAUAAACAUCUACAAUUUAGUUUCUACAUAUUAACUUUAUACAUUAACUAUUCUUGCGAGUAAAAAUGUUACCUGCAAGAUGGCUCCUGCAUAUUGAUAGAAUGCUCACACUUCCCAUGCAUGCAGAAGCCAUUGUAAUGUUCCGGACAAGGUAUGUGGUGUUCUCUGGCACUUUCUUCUAAUUUGUUAGCAUUCUCUGUGAAUACAGAUAAAAGUAAGCACCCCCUGUAAAUACUUAGCCUGGUAAGAUCAACCAGUACAUUAAGAAGCAAAGCUAUGGUAGGCAAAGAUAUUUAAAAGGGCAAGAACUAAAGGGCUAUGCUUCAGAAAUAAGAGGAAGAAAGAACUGAAAGACGUCUUUACAAUUGUGUUUAGAGAUGAAAUUUGCAAAAUUACCCAGUGCUUUUUAUGCUUUCAUGCAAUUUCCUACAUCUUUAACAGCUAGUGGUGUUUCUAGGACUUGUCAGACAGCUUUAAUUUUCCUCACAUAGGGACCGUACAUUGAUCAUGAAAUACUCCAAGAAGAAAUAUCCUAUUUUUUAAAUUUCAAAGCCCAGCAUAAUGUCCUUAAGAGUAAAUUGCUGUAAUACCUUGAUACUUUCGCAAUACGAAAGCUUAAAAGUUAAAAUAUGGCCGUGUUCAAUUGUUAAACACACAUUUUCCAAACCGAAUGCAAAUUUCAACAAAUGUAUUCUUUCAGGCUUUUAAAAUCUACUGCAAACAUGAUUUUCACUAGCAUCCACACAUUUUUUUGUUGCCACAAUAAACCUAUUAAAUAAGAAAACGUUAUUUCAAAAUCACUUAUGUAGAUAUUCACAUAGUAUACACUGAAUACUGUAAGUGUAUUUAAAUGCAUAUUUGGCCUGUAUUAACAAUGCUAUGUGAAACCUAAACUUACGAUAACGAAUAAACGUGGAUUCUAAAGUGAACACUUUUGCCUGCCAUUACAACAUGUUCUACUUGUUUUGCCAUGUUUUCAUAGAUAUUUGAAAUUUUUUGACCUUUGUUAGUCCAAAAACGUUUGCUUCAUAUUUGUAAUGCCAUAUUUAAGUGUCUUUUGAGUCUUAAUAUGUUCAUUUUAUGAUAAAACUUUUGAGUUUUCCCUAAAUCUGAAAUAUGAUAUUCUUGAAAAUUUCUGCCCAAACACAUGAGAAAUAUAGCUUUUAUGAACUCAAUCUGAAGACACUCUUCAAUCUGAAGGUACUCUUCAACACCCUAGUAAUUAGUCAGCAGUAAUGGAAAAUGGCAAAUGAAUUCCUAUUUUUAUGAAAUGGUUUAUUUCCAUAUAAGGGUAUAGGUUUUAUUAUUAGCAGUCACGGAUGAUAAGCAUAUUCAUUGGAAGAAAAAAACAUGCCUCUGGUAUUAGCGAAUCAGACAAAUCUAUUAUUUAUGAUUAAACAGAGCUGCAAAAUAUCUAUACAUCUUUAAGAUCCAGAUGCCAUCUGCAAAACAAAGUCUGAAAAAAGUUGUAAAAGAUGUAUAGUGCUUUCUUGUGUAGAGAUAUUUAUAUGCAUCAUUAUGAUGGGCAAUAUUUUAUGUUACACACCCAAAUUUGUAAGGGAUUUACCAUCAAGAUACUAGAGAGCCUGUAGAUGACAUUUAAAUCAUUAGUUUGUUUCUUAUCUGUGUCUCUUUAGCUAGGAUGGUUGGUGAUUUUUUUGUUUGAAUUACAGUAUUUGCACAUCGAUAGCAGCUAUUUAACUGAACAUACCACUUCCAUGGAGAAAACUAAGAAUGUAUAGAACUUUUUUGGUUUCUUCCCUCUUCUUUGAAGUUACUUUGGAAUUUUGUGGUAUAAUGUUUUUGGUAGCAAGUGCAGCUGCAGUAAGCAAAUACACCAAAAUUAAAGUGGGUAGUGUUGGGUGAAAUUUCCCACAUGGGAACGUGUGACCAAAAUGGAAGCGGGGCAGUUCAUGAACCCAUGGAGGAGGCUGUGUUCAUUCUGUGCCAGGGCCGGGGGCUACACACUAUAGCGAUCAAACCAUGCACCUGCUGUUUAAAGGAGACUUUAGCAGUGGGGUUUGCCAGUCACACUGCUGGUGUAAUGAACCAGCUCUGAUUUUCACUUUUAUUUCUGGACCUUCUUCCCAUAACAAACUAUUCGACACUUCUAUGGUUCAUUAAUAACCCCUCAGUGCUUCUGAACACCUGCAUGCAGGGAAAUUUUCUGUGACUUCCCUAAAUUUCAGUUAUACACUGUCUUUUCAGAUAUAGUAUUUUCCAAACACAUCUUAUUAGGACUAUUUUUCUUUCUGUCAGUUACAAAAGAAUGUCAAGAAUUUUUUAAAGUGAAAAUCCGGUUUUUAGUCUAUUUUAUUUUUAACACUGUACCUCACCCCAUACUGACAGUUUGUUUCUGGAUUCGUGCCAUAUUCACAAUUAUGAACUGAAGUAUAAGGGAAAAAUAAGAGCUUGUCUGAAUGAGGCUGCUGCCUUAGUGUGGUAAGAGAUGGAUAUUUUCACAAAGUUCAUUAUCCAGCCAGGGUGAUCACAUGGGUAGGGAAUAGUUUCCAUUGUAAAAUCUGCUAAUUAGUUUACACUAUUCCUUAUGAGCUUGGAGUGCUCUGUUAUGCUGCUCAUAGGAUACUGUCAAAUAAGAAAGCAGAGAGAUUGAAAAUAAAUUAGUAGAAGAAAUGAUCUCUGGGCAAGAAAAUGAGGAAUCAUCAAUAUAUGUCAACAAAUUUAUAGUCAAUCCAACCAAGUAAAUCAGUUGAUUGAAAACCUGAAUAUAUAACCACUGCUAGUAAUGCAAUAGACAUAUUUUAGAAACAAGAUUUUAGUAUAUUAAGAGUAGAAACACAGAAAUCUAAUAUCCAAACAAACAUGUAUAUGAACCAUAGUGUUUGUGAUCUUAAUGUUUAUGUAUAGUAGGUAUUAAGCAAUAACAAAGCAUUAAAACAUUUUAAAUUAUAUAAAAAUUAUAUAUUUCUGGAAGUCUGCAUGUUUCCUUCAGUAGCUUAUGAUUUAGACAUUGAUUUCUCUGUCCUCCAUUUAAAAAGAGGUUUAAUGUAAGGGUUGUGCUCUUUCUUCUAAAAUAGAUAAAAGGCUAUGGUAGAAACUCUUCAUGUCUGUGUUUAAAAUCCUCAACUAGUUUCCUGUUUAAAUGUUUACAAAUGGUUUGUUCUAGAGAGUUCCUGACCCUUUGAAAAAACAAUUCUGAUACAAUCUGAGUUAUCUGCAGCAGAGCUAAUAGGGCUCCAUGCCCAUUGCUAGUCAACACUUCAGUCAAGAGCUAUUGAAGUGGGCUGUUCUAUAGUACAGCUACUCAUAUUGUUUCUACCCUGGUGCUUGCAGGGAAAGAAACAGGGAAAGCUAAAGAGACAGAGAAUGGCAAAUGGUGAGGCCUUACCUUACUGCAAGUCAAGUAAGGUUAAGUGGGUAGAAAGGGGGCAAAGCCAGAUUUAGCAGUUCAGACUUAAAUCAAUACAGUCCAGUAUGUACAUGUGUGUGUAUGUGUUUACCAUUGCCCCUGUAUUCCUUUCCCUAAAAAGUUGAAAAUAAGAUGUUGUUUAGAUAAUUAAUCUAUCAAAGGAACACAUUAUGGAUCAAAGCAGAAAUAUUACAGUGUAAAAUUUGACUAAAUCUAUCCAUAUUUCUAAAAAAGAGAAUGUUUUCCUUUGGACAAAGAUUAAAGGUUGGCCAAAGAAGUCCUGAAAGUUAAGUUGUAUUAUCUAUCCAAGUGCUCUCCAAGCUGGUGUGUCUUUGUUUUUUAGUUUGAGAGUCUUACUCUAUUACCCAGGAUGGAAUGCAGUGGCGUGAUUUUGGCUCACUACCACCUCCACCUCCUGGGCUCAAGUGAUUCUCGUGUCUCUGCCUCCCUCUUAGGUGGGACUAUAGGCAUGUGGGACUAGCUAACUUUUUGUAUUUUUUAGCAGAGAUGGGGGUUUUCCAUGUUGGCCAGGCUGGUCUUGAACUCCUGGCCUCAAGUGAUCCACCUGCCUCAGCCUCCCAAAGUGCUGGGAUUACAGUCGUGAGUCACUACACCCAGCCCAAGUUGGUGUGUCUUAAAAAACCAGCCUGAACUAGCCAACCCAGAGUCCCAGGUGCAGAGAUAGAUGCACCAGGUUAUUAGUUUCUGAUGCUAUUAAAUAUUUAUUCAGUUAACCCAUUUCUCUUGUUCUGAUGCUCUGUUGUCUAGUCAUUCUUAAAAUAAUUCGACUUCUAUGUAGCCUUCACAUUGGAAUGGCUUUGACAAAACAACAUGAAUAUCUUACCCAUUUAACAGUUAACAUAUUUCAUUUCAGAGAAUUGACUAGUUCUGAAUUUCUGUUUAUUUUUUGAGGGGGUCACAUGUCAUCUUCAUCCCACUCAAUUCUGAAGUUUUUUAAGGUCAAACUUGUGCUGUAUAGACCAGAGAACUAGACCCUACCCGUUGUUCACUACAGUCUGCGAGGCCUUUGGGGGCUGGUCAAAUGAUAUUUCUCUGGUAAUGCCCCACUUUAAUCAGGACUUUAUUGCAAAUGUAUACAAAUUCUUAGGCCAUUGAUUCAUACAGAAGAGUCUGAUUCUGUGUAAGCGUUUCUGAGAAAAUUGAAAAGAUCCUAAACUAGAGGAAACAUCAGGAAUUUAGUGGAUGUUUUAGGUGGGCAGAUCUCCACUGCAUAUUUUUAAACAACUAGAGCUGUUCAGUAGGAGAAUGAGUGAGUUCCAUUGUAAAAUAGUGGGCUUCUGGUGGUAUUGAAAGGAGCUGUGUGGCCAUUUCUCAGGGAUGUUGUAGACUGUUAAUGUAUAUCGGUUAGAUUACUUCAGAGCUCUAAGUUCAUUGAAUUCUGAAAGUAACAUUUAUUUCUAUUGCUAAUAUUUACUUAUGAUUAAUCAUGAAUAUUUACUAACAUUUACUAGAGAAUAUUAUUUUUGAUACGCUAGGAGAAAGACGUAGAGAAAUAGAGAUAUUAUUUAUAUAUAUUAAACAAAAUAAAUUACUUUUGCCUUAAUUAUGGGACAUGCUACCUUUUGAAAGGGUAUAAAAUAUCUUAAAUUUUGACUGUGUCUAUAAUUCAGACAUUCUAGCAGAGAGGACCUUUACUAUGUAAUGUAUUGCCUUUCUUUUGUUUAGUGGACCUAAGUUCAAUUUUUAAAAUCAUGCUUUAACAUCCCAUAUGAUCUUGACACGCACAUGCGAGUAUUACAGUUUGGUUUAUUAUCUUUUCAACUAUCUUUUGCUGUUGGUCCACAAAAUGUGUCAUACUUCUAUAGAAAAACAAAAAUUUUCAGUUUUGAAUGUGUUUAUGUAAUCUUGCUAUUUUUUACAUGUAAUGACAGUAGAGGGAAACUCCAGUAUUGAAAUAUUCAUAUUCUUACACACCUUUUGUAAUUACUUAAUUUUACCCUCCCCGACUUACUGCCAUUUCUCCAAAGCAAAAUGAAACUACUUUUAUUUAACUAGAAAAGGAAAAAACUGUUCUGUUCUCCUUAUAUUUACAUUGUGCCUGGGACAGAAAUAAAUUAUAAAUACAGAAAUAAAGUCAUGAUUGUUCCCAUUGUUGGUUAGAGUUGGUUUCAAAGAAGAUAUACAGUUCUUAUGAUUUCCUCUCCUUAUCUUAUCAGGUAUAAACAUAUGAGGCAGUAAAACCUCAUAUCUAGCUUGAGUUGCAAUCCAAGUUUUUUAAAGACUAGAAAAGCAUUCCUAUUGAAUGGGUUCUGAAUGUAAUGAAGUCUGAGUUCCUGCAACUUAACAGAUUCCACAAUAACCUCACCUGCUGUCAUAGCUUCUGCAAGGCAUAUACGAGUAGAUGAGAAGAGUCUCUCCUUUUUAAAGCUUCUGGGACACAGACUCAAAUAAAAAUGCUAGUUAAAAGUGACAGCCUAGCAUGAGGGACACAGAGAAUUUAAGGAUACAAUCAAUUCUCAAGUUUUGUAAAGAGCAGAGACCCAGUCAUAACAUUCUUGUUAUUUAAUCUCUGUUAAAGACUUAGAAAAUAACACUUCAAAACAGAGACCAAGUCCUUCAACAUUCUUGCUACAAAUUUAACAUUUCUUCUGCAAGUUGAACAUUAUUCUAUUUUUUUCAGAAAAAUAAUUGAAACUACUUGGAUCAGAAACUUUGCUAGUGAGGCAGUGGUAUGGGUUGGGAACAGGAUGGAUGCAAACAAACAGAAAUUCCUCUUCAUUCCACCAUUGAUAGGCACUAAUAUAAAAUGUGAAAUGUGAUUAUCCUUAUCGUUGCUUGCAUAUGCUAUAAAUAUUCUUAUUGAACAUAAAAUUAAAAUAAAGUGUAAGAAAACUAAUUUCCAUGUUACUGGAUUAUCAGGCAAGGCCUUGAUGACAUGAUUCAGGGAUUGCUAGAAUUUAAAUUGGAAAAAGUACCAGCAUCUGAAAUAUACAUAGUAAUUUGGGGACUGGAGUAAUUGAAAUGCAACAAUAGUGGAUGAUUAUUUGCAUGGGCUUUUAUUAACUCAGUUUCUAUUUGUAAUAUAUUUACAUAGAUAAAUACUGAAAAAUCUGUAAAAUCUUGGGAGAAAAACUUGUAUGCAACAUUUUCACUUGACAUCCAAAUACAAUUAUAAUCCAAUAAUUUGGCAUAACAAGGCUCAUGUAGAUUUAGUUAGAAAUCCUGGACCUCAAAAAAUUUUAUUAUUAAUUGCAAAAUAAGUAGCUCCUUAGCUGUUUGCUCUGUUUUUUGACUCGGCAAUGCCCUGCCUGGCUUUCGAUGGCAGAGCCCUCAGAAGAGUGAAGAGAGCAGGCCGCUGGGAGAAGUUGUGUUCUGUCUCUAAUGGUCCUUUUCAAACUUCACCACUCAGUCCAGAGCCUAUUAACUCUCAGCAAGUGGGUAACUCCUAUCAGUUUACAGGUCUUGGUUUGAAGACCUUUUAAAAAUACAGUAUUUAAUGGAACUUUAGAAGUCUUUGACAACAUUUCUGUAAGUAUCAGGCCUUGGGAAGAGGUAGGAAUCUAUGGUUCAUUAGCCUCUUGGGAGUCCAGAGCUGGAGUUGCCUUAAGCUUAUCUGGGGCAAUUUGUUGCAGCUCUCCCCAUUGAGUUUUCCCCUCAGCAUCUCCUUGCUUUCAAGCUGCUCUCAGGAGACAAAGUUUGCUAUAAACUUUAGAGAAAGAAAAUGCCAUGGGAAGCCAUUUUAUGCUAAGAAUAUAUUUAUUCUCUUCCUUUUUGUCUUGAACUAAAUCUAUGCAUUUUUGGCCAAAAUUAUUUGCUUGUGGUUAAUCCAGGCAUCCUUUCUUAGUGAGCUUCAUUGGUGACAAUGCUGAAAAUGACACUAAGUAACAGAAGAAAGAAGCAACGGGUCAGGUCCCAUCUACUCUAGUCUUCUGGGCCAUGUGAGCCAAGCAGUUUUCUUCUUUGUAGGCUGCGUGUGCAGAAAUGGAUAGUCAAGACAAACCUCCUCAGGUGAUGUAACCGUUUUCUUCUGUGACCCUGAAGUGACUAACUGGCAGAGAGUGAAGAGGAUUGAGGCUAGAGCAUUUACUGGAAUAUAGUGAAAGCAAAGGUCUGAAUAACACAGAUAGAACACCAAAGCUGUCUUUCAGUAAUUUAUUAUAUGAAUAUUUCUUGAGUAGCUAUUAUGUGUCUGGCACUAUGCUAUGUGUUGUGUAUCCAUACGCUAAAGCUAUUGGUUGUCGCUCAGUGAUUUUGCUUAUUAUCUUCUAAAGACAAUCAAGAAAACUGAUUCUUAAGACAAGAUGAUAGUAAUUAUGUCUUAAAUUACUUGAGAAUCUUACAACAGGACCAUCAUUGUGUUAAUACUUAACAUGGUCAAAAUGUAUUCCUUAGUAUAGCCUUUCAAGGUAGAUUUAUAAAAUUUCCAUUUUUUUAUAGAUUAGGAAAAUGAAAUUAAAGUAGGUUAAAUUACUUGUCUUAGUAAUUUACACAACUUGUAAACAGAAUUGCUGUCGAAGUCAGGGCUCUUUCCAGUGUGAUAUGUACAGUAUGAUAGUUAGGAACUUAUAAAAAUACACGACAACAUCUGGCCUUCAUAUCUUAUUUAUCAUUUGUGUUUGAUGACUCCUGACUCUUUAUCCCACCUAGAUUCUAUUGCUACUCUAAAAAACAAUUUCCUUCCUUUCUCUUUCUUUCUCUCUUUCUGUCUGUCUUUCUUUCCUUCCUUCCUUCCUUCCUUCCUUCCUCCUUUCUUUUCUUUUUUCUUUUCCUUUUCCUUCUUUCCUUCUUUCCUUCUUUCUUUCCUUCCUUCCUUUCUUUCCUUCUUUCUUUCUUUCUUUCUUUCUUUCUUUCUUUCUUUCUCUUUCUUUCUUUCUUUCUUUCUUUCUCUUUCUUUCUUUCUUUCUUUCUUUCUUUCUUUCUUUCUGCCUUUUAACCCAUGUACCUUGUCUAGGGCCAAUCCCUCAUGAAUCUCAACCCCUCCAUCAUCCUCAAGGGCUCUCCGUCAAUUAUCUCCCUUUGUUCUUGUAUCUUCAACUCUUCCUCACUCUUUGCUCAUUUCCAUCAGCAUUUCAACACACUCAAGUGUCUUCCUUCUUAAAAUAAAAAUGAAAAAGGCCCUCUCAAUCCAUGUCCCUUGGUAGACCUCGUUUCCUUUAUUCCAUUUACAGUGAAACUUACAAGUGUUGUCUCUGCUCCUUUUCUUCACUUCUGCACUCACCUCUCCUCAUUCUUGCAGCUCUCUGGUCACCCCUUCAGAGAAACUAUUAUGACCAAUGUUACCAACAACACUGUUGUUAAAACUAGUAGUCUCUUCUCAGGCCUCAGCCAUCACAAUCUCUCAGUAAUAUUCACUACAGCUGACCACAUCCUCCUUUUUGAAGCCCUCUCUUCCCUGGGUUUCCAUGAUACCACCCAGUUCUUGUUCUUUUUGGUUGGUCCUUCAUAGUCUACUGUGUAGGCUCCCAUUUUCCAACUGAUUCCUUAAAUGUUGAUACUUCCCUAAGGUUCUUCUCUUGUUGCAGUUUAAACAUUUUCCCUGAGAGAGCUCAUCAUCACCCAAGGCCUUUAUUUGUCAUUUUACUGCCUCUGACUUCCAAAUAUUGAUUAGUCAGCCCAGAUCAACUUUUUAUAGGUGAUGAGGUGAUCACACUUUUAUGGAGUUUCAUAUCUAUAUAUCAACAUUCCUAGGGUCUCCCAGGUACCUCAAACUCAUCAGAUCCUUCUCCCACUUCCUUCCCCUGCUUCUUAUCCCAGGCAUAUUUAUCUACUCAUUGACCAAACAGGAAAUCUGGGUUUCACUUUUAAAUUCUAACUGAGUAAAUCACCAAGAUUUCUACUUCUUAAGUAUCUCCCAAAUUUGUCUAUUUCUCUACAUUUCUACUGCUACUCACUAAAGUCAGACCAUAUGUCAGCAAAUCACCAUGCCUCCAAUUUUGCCCUCUCGAAAUAUGUUUUCCACCUAGGCCAGAGUGAUCUUUCUAGAAGAGAAAACGUGAGUACAUUUUGAUCGCCCUUAAAACUUCCCAAAGAAAUAAUUCUCAAGUUAUUCCUCACUGUUCCUUUAAUGAGCCAAAUGCUAACAGUACUCAGAAGGCAAUUCAGAAUCUAGUCCCAGCUUCUCCAUUCUCACCUUUUGCAAUUCUUCUGCAUCUUCUUACAUUCAUCAUAUGAAAUUUUUCUCUCCCCUCUGGGACUUCCCAUAUGCUAUUCCCUUUGCCUGGAAUGCUCACUUUCCUUCCUUUUCGUUUACCAAAGUCCUGCUCAUCACUUAGGUCUCAUCCUUGGCAUUAUUUCCUCUAAGAAACUUCUGCAAUGUUCUCUUCUGUCUCCUCAGUCUGGGCUCACUGCCCCUCUGACCUAAAACCACUCUCCUAUUCUGGCACCAUCCACACCAAAUCUUCAUUAUUGUUUACUUGUCUGUGUGACACGUUAGUUCAGAAACUCCCUUUUAAAGGCUGGUAAUAUAUUUGAUUUAAGAAAAAAAAAAAAAACUUGCGUAGUCUCUGUACGUAGCACAGAACAUAGCACAAGAUGAUGAAUACAUAGUUUUUAAAAUAAAGGAAUGUUUCCCUAGGUUUCUCUACUGAUAUUGGGAAGUUUCCAGAAAAUAUACAAAAGUAAAAGCAGUAGAAAAGGAAUCUUAACUUUGCUUCAUGGGAACAACUUUUUGUAGGUGAGGGUGGCAUGUCAAAGGGGACUGUAAGUACUGCCUUAUGAAAGAAUAUCUGCCAGAGGGGAGUGGCUGCAGAUCCUGGAGAAGUGGAGCCAGAGAAGGGGAUGUGGUUUCUUCUUUCCACAGCUUCUGGUGAGGCUAAUGGAGAAAUGAACAGAUCAUCGAGUUUUAAAAAUAAUAUCACUUCUGUUAGCCAGGGAUGUGUGUGAUCCUGAAAGGAAGAAUUUAUUACCCCUUUCAUUUAAAGAUUGAAGUAUGGGAACUUUAGUUCUAGGUGGAAAAAUUUGUCAUUUGUAUGCAUGUCAUACCUCAAAAAUCACAGUGGAACUAUGUAUGGUCAAUUCUGAAUUAACAGAUUCUAAUUUGGCCAUUCACACUGUGUGUAUAGCAUUGUCCAGAAGUGAGAAUAUUGAAAAUUUUCAGGGCAGAAGGAAACUUUUAUUUAAAAAAGCAAAACAAAACAAAAAACAGGCAAAUGAAUUUCAAAAUAGAAACUAGUAUUUUAAAUUAAUAAAACAUUUUCCUUACUUGUCAGCUUCAGAAUAAAACCAUGCAUUUAUUCUCAUACUUAAAAGUAUUUUAUGGUAAUAGAUGCUAAACACCACAAUUAGCAGCACAGAUAUACUUGAUGAUACUGUGAUAAAUAAAACUAGUGAUCAGUUUGGUUUUCUACAAGAGCAUCCUAAAAAGAACUGGAGGGGUUUUUAUAAUUUAUUAAACUAAGGAACAGAGGUAUAGCUUUUACUCUUCAAUAGGCUUUCUUGAGCACAGUCUCAAAAGUGCUUGAGAAAAGACACUAGAAGAAAUGUAAAAUUCUCGAUGAAAACUGGUUUAAAACUGAACUUCUGAGAAAAAAAAAAAGGAAACUGAAAAGUUCCAUAAAAUUGGUAGUAAAAGUGCUUCUAAUAGCUAGAAAUGUUUUGUAUUAUUUAAAUGGAAUAUUUAAGUUUAAUGUUUAAUUCUAAACACUAAUGAACUACCCAGUUUAGAAAUUGUAGAUAGCCACAGUUGGGGAUAUUAUGCAAUGCUAGAUACCUGAGCAGAAUUUAUAGGUAUUAUAGGUACAGCACCUUAGUACUGUAUUUGGACAUCACAGGAUCUUAGAGGAUGCUGUUGAUGCUCUGACACCCCUCACAGAAGUAUGUAUAUAGAUAUAUAUAUAUCUGUGAGUUUUGUAUAAACACAAUUCUACUAUGAUCUCUUACAAAUAGCUAAUUUUAAGGAUAAAAUAGAAUUAUAGUACACUAAAAUUCCCAUUUUAAGGGCAAUGCUUCUUGUUCUAGUGCAGAUUGACCUCCUUCCCUUGUGAAAAAUAGAUUUCCAGGCUUUGGUCUUGAUCAGCUCAAUCAGAAUUACCAGCUGAGGGGCCUGGAUCUGUCUUUUAAAAGGUGCUUUAGGUGAUUCUGACGUGCAAAUAGUGUGCAGCCUGGUGUUCCUGACCUCACGUCACCAUUUUUUCUUACCUCUCGCAGGCUUUGGCUAUCUGAUGCUAGGCUUUCCUGCACCCUGGAUCCCCCUUCCUUCCCCUGAUAACUGUCCUACAGUGGCCCACCUUUCUGGUCCCAGGUCUAUCUUAGCUCCUCUCUGUAAAGUGCCAGUCUCCGCUGUGGUCUAUGAGUGUGUGAGCCAUGGUUUGCCCUCUGCUGCUCUUCCCGCAUCCACUCUUGGAUGUUACGGGAAGUCCUCAGGGGACCUCAGCUUGCCAAGCCUUCCUUACCCUUCGUAGUCAGCCUGGAAAACUCACUCUGUUUUAGAAUGUCUUUGUCUCUUUUGAGAACACUCCACUCCAUGUAUGGCCUGUGUGCCUGUAACAAGUGCCAACAUCUGUGAGAGAUUUCUAGAUUUUGUCAAUUCUCAGAUAUUUGGAGACCAAUUUUUUCAAAUCUCCAGGCUUCUUUAAUGACUCUGUUGUAUAACUAACAGAAUUGACAACAAGAACACCCUGUGUGAAAGCAAAUGAAGCAUCCUUGCAAAUACAGGAACAGAUAACACAGCUGAGAAAAGGUGCAGAUUAUACCAAUGUUUAUGAUUGCUUCAAUUUACAGAUGAGAGUAAAGGAGCAUUGGGCCACUGGUGAUAUCUAUAUCAGCUCAGCUAGUCCGUGGGAAAGAUGAAGUCACAAGAAAGGUAACAGCGGCAGGAAAGAAGACAAAUAGAGGAAAACAAUUGGAGGCAAAAUUACUAUUUGUGUCACUGUGGCAACUGAGAUAAAUGAUAUUAAAACAAAGAGUGGGUAUUGACAGCAGAAUAGAAGAGGCAGAAGUUGAGAAAUAUCUCUUUGGUUUCAUGGGGCAGGACAAAUGGCCACCUGUGCUUCUAAAUUGCAGGCCUUACGGACAUAGAACAUGCUCUUUAGACCAGAGUUUCCUGAGGGGAGCUCUGUUGAUGCCUGACUACUUCUGUAGCAGAAUUCACGGGAAAAAGGGGUUCUGUAGUCAAAUAAAUUUGGGAUAGAGUGGAUUAAACCAAAUUAUAUUGGUUUCUUUACUGCUGCUUUCCUCAGAGCCCUUAAAAGGCUAACUUACACUGUGAGAUGCCAGGAGGGGACAAGCAUUAUGUAGUGCUUCUAGACUCAUUUCUCAAUGGAACCUCCCUGCUCUUUGGAGGAACAUUUUGUGGGACUAUUCCAUCAGACUUCAUUCUGGGAAACACUGCAUUAGAUUAUGGCAUCUCCAAAUUUUUAACAUCACCAUACAUACAGAAAAAAAUAAAUUGAGUUUUUGGUAAAAAGAGGACAUUAUAAGCCUUGGGGCUCUAGCCACCCAAGCCACCCAGAAGGCUAAGGUGGAUCACUGCACUAACACACCUGUUACCUAUUCAGGGCACAUAAGAAAGUUUUGCACUAGAUUAUACCCUCUCUUUGGGCAGAGACUGUGUAUUGUUUCCAGGUUUAUAUAUAUAUAUAUAUGUUUGUGUAUAUAUGUAUGUAUGUUUGUGUAUGUGUGUGUGUAUCUAUGUGUGUGUGUGUAUAUAUAUAUAUAGAGAGAGAGAGCUAACGUUUAGGACAGAGACUGACACAAAGUGUUCAAUAUAUAGAAUGAAUAAAUAAAUGAAUAUUAUAGGCAUAGGAGAUAUGUUUGGCAGCUACUUCUACCUCAGUGUGGUGGCUUUGAAAAAAUUAAUGCCCCUGGUUGUUUGCAUCAGAGCCAGCUCAUCACCACUUCAGUGAAAUGUCCAUAAAGGUACAAUCAAUCCCUACCUUAGGUGACAAGGUAAGGUGCAAUAUGGCAGAGAAGUCUACUCAAUAGAAAGUAUACAUUCCAGUACAAAAAGACUAGGUGCAUAGGUAAGAGCCAUAUUUCCUAUGUAUUUCAGUCUCCUUCAGCAAAAGGUAAAAAUAUGCAGAGCAAAAAUGUGUUGCUAAUCAUGAAAGACAAGAAGGAUAUCCAUGAAUGGUGUGAAAGGUCAAGCAUAAGCAAAUGUUGAUGGGUUUGUGUAUGUCUCCUGAAUGAUGUCAUGGCCCAGAAAUGGCAAUGAGAGAAUUUAUUGUGUAGAUCUGAAUUAAUUUAUAAAUCUGGAGUACUGCCAUUUGACAGUACCUGACCAAAUUAGUGUAAGCAAUUCUCAUUGAAAGAGCCAGAAGGCAUACCAUCUCUUCUCAUAGUCAGGAAUAAGAUAAAAUUAUUUAAAGAAACAAAUGUAGCUGAUUGUGCUAUGAGUAUUUCUGAAGGUGGGUUUGACAUGUUAAAUGAGCAUUCUAAAUAAAACUGGCAAUAAAAAAGUCAUGGAAUCACUCUAAGAAAAUCACAGAAUUUUAUAGGUUUUGCUAAAAAAUAACUUCCAAAGCCAGUAUAAGCCCUGAAGAAUUUAACAACUUUUGGUAUUUCUCAAUCAUCUAUUGGUACAUGUCAGUGAAUCAAAUAUCUUUGUGUUUAAGCACAGUAAGACUGUCAUUGAAUGUGAUAAUGCUGCCUAAAAUAAAACUUUUAAGAUGUGAAGAUCCAUGGUAGAUUUCCGUGUUGUCCCUCUAUUUAACCUGUUAAAGAGACACAGUAAUACCAAUGAGCAAGUUUUUUUCAUGCCCAGCAUUACUUUUUUUUUCUAUCAGCAAAAUAUUAUAUCUAGUGAUUGGUAAAAUAAUGGAACCAAUAGUUUAUUGGUUACUGUCUUUGGUAGAUCCAUGUUUACCCCAAAUUCACAUUCACCUGGAACCUCAGAAUGUAAUCUUAUUUGGAAAUAAGUAAUUACUUAAAAUGAGGUCAUACUGGAUGAGGGUGGGUCCCAAAUCCAUGACUGGUGUCCUCAAGAGGAAGGGCAAGGGAAGACGCACAAGCAGAAGGUCAUAUGAAAAUGGCAGCAGACAUUGGAGAUGUGCCACUAAAACCAAAACAUGCAGGAGCCACCAAAAGCUGGAACAGCCCAGGAAAAAUUCUCCUUUUGAAACUUGAGAGAAAGUGUGGCCUUUCUAAUGCCUGAAUUUCAGUCUUUUAGCCUCUAGAAAUGUGAGAUAAUAAAUUUCUGUAGUUUUAAGUCUCCUCAUUCAUGGUAAUUUUGUUAUGGCAGCCCUAGAAAAAGUAGGGUUUGUACAUGGUUGGUAACCAUUUACCAAUCAAACUCAUAUUGAUAGAGUGUAUCUUUUAAUAGUCCAAAUGGAGUCAAUGAAAGUGAGCUGAAAGAUUGGUUUCGGCUAGGAUGUGACCUGGAAAGUCUUCCUUUAUUUAUGUCUAUUUUCCCAGCAUAAAUUAUUAAUCGUGUACUGUUUUACUCUCAAAAGUUUCCUACUUUGAAUGAUGAAUUGUAUGAUCACCUUAGCUUAAGCUUAAGUUGAAGUACCCGUGAUUCAUUGCAUUUGCAUCCCCAAAAUUAUGUUUUUAAGAGCUGAUGUGUAGCUAAGAUUCAUUUUUUUUUCUUCCCAGUUUUGAACAACUGACUUGCUUCUGGCACUUCCUUAAUUUCUAGUCAGUGAUAACUGGAGUGCAAAAAACUACUUUAGAAACAGUUAAGGAUCCAAUGUGAGUCUAAACAGUUUACUUCUACAUGGACAUCAUUUAGGGCUGGAGAUUAGUUAUUAACUAAAUGGUACCUUGUGAUCUUAUAGUGUUAGUUUACCUUUUAACAGGUUUAACACCCUCCAGGUAUAUAAUUACACUCCUUUCUAAGUACAUGGUUAACCACUCAAGAAAUCAAUAGGGGUUAUAAAACAUGUACAAAUUUGAAUUUGGAGAGAGUCAAACUUCUAUCUUGUUCCUAGAAGUAAAAUGGCUAACAUUUAGAAUUGGGCUUAUAGGGAGCCAUUUAUUUUGAAAUAGAAAAAGCACAAAAUAGGUAUGUUCAGAGUUGGGAGCGAAAUAUGACAUUGAUAAAUCAAACAGAGCCCCUCACUUUUGCUUUGAUUGAUGUUGUCAAUAGCAACCCACAACUUUUGUUUCUUGAUGUGUGACUAUAUAGCCCCCUGGAUCCAGAGAAGGUAACAAACAUGUUUUCUCUCAUGAGGUUUCUAAAUUUACUAGAGCUUGAUCCUACUCACACCUAAUUAAUUCAUCAAUAAUAUUCAUUCAUUUAAAAUAUUGAUGGUUUCCUUCUAUGUGUUAAAUACUACAGGUAUAGUAUGUACAGUGGUGAGUUAAAUAGACAGUUUCUCUCUGGAAGAGCAUGCAUAUUAGAGAGUGAGAUAGGCAAUAGAUAAAAACAAAAAUCAACAUCUAAAUUAGAAAUGUCACAGGAAAAAAUAGGGUGCUCAGAUACAGAAUAGUAGCGUGGGAUACUAGAGAGGUGAUAAAAGUCAUAUUGAGGAAAGGAAGGAUGAGAAAGAGCUGGUCAGAGAUAGCCCCGGAAGAGCUUCUGACUGAGUGAACACAGAGAGAAAGACAAAUGCAGGAAAGAGGUGUUCCAGGAAACAGCCUUGUGGCUAGAAUGGAGAAUGUGCCAGCUAUGGUGGAGAGAGGGAUAAAAUGAAGUUGGAGAGGUCAGUAAGAUCCUUACUAUACACCAAGCUAAGAAGUAUUGCGUUAGUGUUUUUUUGUUUUUUUUUUUUUUUAGACCGAGUCUCACUCUGUUGCCCAGGCUGGAGUGCAGUGGUGCAAUCUUGGCUCACUGCAACCUCCGCCUCCCGGAUUCAAGUGAUUCUCCUGCCUCAGCCUCCCGAAUAGCUGGGAUUACAGGCACCCACCAUCAUGCCCAGCUUUUUUUUUUUUUUUUUUUUUUUUUUUGUAUUUUUGUAGAGAUGGAGUUUCACCAUGUUGUCCAUGCUGGUCUUGAACUCCUGACCUCAGGUGAUCUGCCCACCUCGGCCUCCCAAAGGGUUGGGAUUACAGGCAUGAACCACUGUGCCUGACCUAGUUUAAAGAUCAAUGGGAAAGCAUUUGGGUAGUUUCCAGCACAUCUGUCUGUUACUAAAAAUUGAUCAUUAAGGGGACACAGAGGAAGCAGGGAGAGCAAACAGGAGACCAGUACAGUGGUGUGGGAGAAAGACAAUGUCCCAGUCUUCAACUUGGGUAGUAGCAAUGGAAGAAGGGAAAAAAUUACUUUUAUUUCCCUUGUACCUUACAGGUGGAUUGAAUAUGACCUGUUUAUGUAUUGCAAAAUGGUAGGAACUAUUCCAAGAUGAUGCAGUUUUUGGCUAAAACAUCUUGGUAGUGCUAUUUUGUACAAUGGGAAAAAUUAGAAGAAACAUUUAAGCUCCAAUGUAUAAACAUGACAGAUAUCCCUUAUUAGGAUUUUUGAGAUUACAUUGAAAAUUCUAUGUUUAUAUUUGGGUAUGUCUACAGUAGAAUUGAUGUUAACUGGAAAGAAUCCGUAGUUCAGUGGAAAAUUAUUAAGGGGUGAACUAGCUACUAAAUAAUAGUAAGAUAAUGUAUGAUUAAGAAAUGAAAACUUACAGCUACGUGAUAUCUAAAGUAGGAGGAAGGACAUUUGUAAUUGUCUACGAAGAAUUUGGGGAUGUAAAUUUAAAGGCAAGAUAAGUAAAUCAUGAAGUGAAAGGAAAAAAUUAGACUAUGCAGAAACAUCAGUGAGAAAUGCUUUUAAGCAAAACUUUGCUUUCUUUUUGAAAAAUUUAUCACAAGAAAAUAAGAGUUCUUUUAAGAUAAAAAGUUCAUAGAUUUGGUCUCUUCAAUGUCCAUUAUAUAACGUAGGUUUUCUACUUGCCAAAAGAUUAUUAAAUAAUAUUAUUAUUUUAUAAUCAUAUAGUGACUUAAAAUUUUGUUUUUGUAGCUCUUAUUUUGUUUGAGACUGCAACACUCCUAACAGGUAUGUAAGUUUAAGAACAUGAAUACAUAUUUAUAUAUAUGUGUGUGUAUAUACACAUACACGCACAUGCAUAUAUACACAUAUGCAUAUAUAUACCUAUACAUGCAUACAUAUAUAUUUAUGUGUUUGUGUAUAGAUACGGUUUUUUCUUUGAUAAAGUAGGAGCUUGAGGUCAGAAAUAUUCAGUGAAUCUCUAAUGUCAUGAGAGGGCUAAAGGCAGAGAACUCCAGAAGCCAUGUGUGUCUCCUAAAAAUCUACUUUAAAAUAGAUUUAGGUUUAGAGAAAAGUUAACAAAGAUAGUGACAUGGUUUGGCAGUGUCCCCACUCAAAUCUCAUUUUGAACUGUAGUUCCCAUAAUCCCCACAUGUCACAGGAGGGAUCCGGUGGGAGGUAAUUGAAUCAUGGGGGCAGUUACCUCUAUGCUGUUCUCAUGAUAGUUAGUGAGUUUUCAAAAGAUCUGAUGGUUUUAUAAGGUGUUUUUCCCCACCUUCACUCUGCACUUCUCCUUGCUGUCACCAUGUGAAGAAGGAUGUGUCUACUUUCCCUUCCACCAUGAUUGUAAGUUUCCUGAGGCCUCCCCAGCGCUCAGAUCUGUGAGUCAAUUAAACCCCUUUCCUUUAUAAAUUAUCCAAUCUUGGAUAUGUCUUAUUAGCAGAAUGAGAAUGGACUAAUACCCAGAAAGUACGGAGAAUUAUUACAUACUCAUGCCCAAUUUUUCUGUGUGUUCUCAUUUUUAAUCUGGUGUUUUCUUCACAAUUUUUCAGUGGUAAAUAAUUGUCUUAGAGUUUUACAUGUAGAGUUAGAAGAAAAAUGAAAGAGUCAGUCAUCUGGAUAAUUCCAGAUCAGAAAACAAUUUUGUGUGAAAGCUAUAGAUAAUUGAGACAGAAUUUUUUUUGUGUGUGUGUGUGGCCUGGAGAGAUUCCUAUGAUUGCCUUCUUCUUUCAGUUGAGUCUGUAGGUACAGUCAUAACUAUAGGUGUUUCGCAUACUACUGUAAUAGGAUACUGUAUAUCAUUCAAUAUGAAGAAUGUGGUUUUUUUUUGGAGGACUAAAUUGCUUGGUUCUAUAUAUCUUUUUCUUAAAAAUAAAGUAUAUUGGCUUUUUUGCUAUAAAAGCAAUUCACAUUGAUUUGAGAAUAGUAGAAAAUAUAGAUAGGAAAAGAACAAAAGUACUGAAAGUUCACAACCUAAAGAAGGCCAAAAUCAAAAUUUUAUUUAUUUACAUCUGGUCUUUUUACUAUGUAUAUAUUUUGGAUCUGUUUGCUUAGUUUAUGCAAAUGGCAUUCUUUUUUAUGUUUCUUUAUUUUUUUUAAUUGUAAGCUUAAUUUCCAGCCAUGUCUAUAAAAGCUGCUCUAAAAUAUCAGGGAAGUUAAUGUUCAGUGUGGGUCAUUGUAAGUAGACCAUUUAGUCUAUCUGGAGAAGAAUUGUAGUUUUUGGAAGUCCACUUAUUAUGUUAGUUGGCCAGUGGUUAAUGGUGCAGAGAAAAUUUAAGAUACCAUCAAUUGGAAAGAAUAUGGUAGAGACUUUCAAAGAGGAAUGUAGUAGCUCAUAUAUCAAGAGCCUCAAGCACAAAGACUCAGGUUACAAAGAGAUUAAUUAAUUAUAACAUCAUCCAAAAUGGUAAAAAAUGGGAAAUUACCUAAAUUUUCCACAACAGUGUAAUGGUUAAAUAAUGUUACAACAAAAUGAUAAAAUGUUAUUUAAAUAGAAAAAAAUCAUGAAGAAUUUUGAUGACAUAGAAAAUGAGAAGGAUGCUAAUUAAAAAAAUAUAUAGGAAAUAUAAAAAACUAGAAGGAAAUUCACCAAAAUUUGACAGUGAUUAUUUCUAGGUAGUAGAGAUAACUCUAAUAAUUGAAAAAUGAAGGUCAUCAGGUGAUUUUUUUCUUUUUCUUCUUUUUUUUUUUUUUUUGCCUAAAAAGGGAUGGUCAAGUUUUUGAAUUUAAGAUUUUAUUCUCACUUCGUCUGUUUAGAUUUGUUAUAUCAGAGCCUUUCUUUACUUAUUAACAAUCUCUUGUAGUAAACAUGUGUAAUCUGAUUUCCCUCAACUUUCUCCAAACUCAAAUAUCUACAAAUCACCUUCAUGUCUUCAUACUAUUUUGGAAAAUAGUUUCUCCAGUUCUCAAAUGUUACUGAGUGUAUUUCCAUGUCCCAGGAGCUUGGCAAUUUUUUUCUAUCAUAAUUGGCAAUACCAGGAAUGGGCUAAUUGCCUUUGGAGGUCAGAACUUCUUUAGUAGUUUUAUUUUUUUAUUGGUCUUGGGUCACUAGAAGGAACUGUUACUGUGUCCUGGCUGUGGCUAGCAGUGACAAGACUGUCUUUUGAGGGCGCUGCCAGGCUUAAUUGCAUCCAAUAUAGGGAUCUUCAUCUGAGAUUUGGAACAAUGAAUCUUCCAUGCCAAUUAAAGAUGAGUUUAAUAUAGAGAAUAUGAAGUAUGCCUAGCAGAGGAACAGUUUUACAGAGCCUCAGGAUCCCAUCUGCCUUUCUACAACACAGAAUUGGACCCAUACAAGCCCUUUAUCAUCUCUUCAAGCUAGGACAUUCCAAAGAAACCAGGAGCAAAAUAUGAGCAUGGAGAGCUUUAGGCAUAUUCAUUUCUCUCUUAUUCUCUAAAUAUUUCUCAGUGUUUUCUAAAGGAUUCUGAACAUAAGGUAUGUUUGCUGUUUGUCUCACAACACAUAAUUGAUAUGUUAUCUAAGUCAAAUAGUUUGGUAAUUGACAGUGAAUUUUUGCAAUACUGAAAAUAAUCUCACUUCUUAUACAAAUAAAGAGUAAUUGUGUCAAAUUGAGUUUAAAAGCCAGUGCCUCUGCCUAUUAGUUAUGGGGCCCAAAUCAAGUCAAAUACUCCUCUGUAGAUAUUUCCUUAUCUGUGAAAUGGGGAUAAUCAUAGUAUUUGCCUUACAGGUUUAUUAUGAGGAAUACAUGAGAGGAUCCAUAUAAAACCCUCAGCAAAAGAGCUGGCAAAUAAUCAGCACUUAAUAAAUGUUUUAGUUGUUAUUAGUCAUUAGAAUCACAUCUUCACACUCUUAUUUUCAAACGAAUAAAAAGGAACCAUUGAGAAGGAAGAAAUGGACAUAGACAUACAUUUUCUCUGUGCUUUUCAGGUCACUUUGGCUUUGUUUUUAUGGGAUAUCCAUCUGUGGAGAAAUGCCCUGGCUUACAAUUACAAGGGUCAUUCCGCAGAAAGAAAAGUGCAGACUGUGGAACAGAGGGCUUAGUCAUUUAUUAUUGUUAAUGGUCUUUUGGCAAUUUCCUUCAUUCCUCAAGGCUUUUGUUUCCUUAUCUAGAAAGAAAGAGUCUGAAAAGCAAACAGGCAAAUACAAUGCAAUGUGAUGACUGGGAAGAGAUAGGAGGCCCAUGUUGGACACAACAGGACUUAGGCCCAGACUCCGGGUGGAAGGUGGGGAGUGAAGACCUCCAUUUAAAACGGGUGAAAUAACAGAUACCUAUACACACUUAUGAAGUAAUAAGAUCACAGGCUUGGGAGUUUGAAUGUCUUGGUUCAAAUCCUAUUUUCGUUUGUUUUCCUUUUUUCCUAUCUGUGACCACGGGCAACUUAUUAACCUUUAUGCCUGUCUGGCACACAGUAAGUACUCAAUAAACUAUAGCUAUUUUAAACUAAUGUGUGUCAUGAGUAAAAGAGUUUUAAAUGUGAAGUCUUUGUUUAGCCAAGUUCCUGGCACAUAGUAAGUGCUCAAUAAAUGAAAGUGGCUGUUAUAUUAUUUUCAUUCUCAGAGGAAGGCUAUCUGAAGCCGAUACAUGAAAUAUGAACAUGAAUUAGCCAAAGACAAAAGCAGAAGAGUAUUCCAUGCUGGACCAAUAGACACAAAAAACUUAGACGGGAGAGAGAGCAUGGCUUGUGGGGGAACUAGUUGUGCCUGGAGCAGGCUAGAGGGCAUGGAUUGAGGAGUGUGGUCCAUGCCAUAGGAGCUAUUGUACAGUCCCGCUGCAAAGGCGGCACCCACUAACCAUCACCUGCUAUGCUCUCACCUAUGGGCAGUCCCACUGCCAGGCUUGUUUUAGCCUCUGAGCGUGUGUCAUUGCUGGCAUUUUGUGGAAGACAGUCAAUUGUAUUCAGUAAUGAAUUUUUUUUAAAGGCUUGCAUAGUUGAAGGAGCUCUAGACAGAAGCCAGGGAGAAGAUUACAGGGUCAGUAAAGAUACACUUCAUUUUGACAAUUUACAAAGGAAACAAAAGCCAUGGUGUGUCUGUUGCUAAUAAAAUAAUCUCUCCUUCCAUGAAAUCUUAGAAAUGGAUUUUUUGUCUUGACAAAAUAAAUAUAUAUUAGGUUUAGGUCAUUUCUCAAACUAAAGGCAAUAUUAAAAUUGUAAUUUGAAUUACUUAUUAAUAACAACAAAUCUUAUGACUUGAAGUGUAUCUCAUCUCUUAGAAACAGAGUUGCUGACUCAAUGUGAUCUAUUCUGAUGGAAACAAGUUUGUUAUAAUAAGAUAAUAUCCAUAUUCCUCUUUUCAAAAAUAACUAUGUUUUUAUGUUUGAUGGAAUGAUGAGAUUCUGUAAUACACUGGAAAAAAUGCAUGGUAUUCAUUCAUUGUGGCAGUAUAUCAUAAUUACUCAGCUUUUAUCAUUAAUAACAGAAGAUUGUGAAUAAAAACAUACUAAUAUCCACCAGAUGUUCAGAAAAACAUAAAUAUCCCCACAUGUCAGCACUUUUAGCAGAAACUCAACAAAAUUUUCUCUACUUCUUUUUUCCUUUUUUAGUUUCCUGAACAUGUUCUUUUGAUACGAUAUUUUUAAUCCUCAUUAGGGAUUUGUUUGGGUUCCUUUAAUAUCUGCCACAAGAGACUGUAUAGUUUCGGAUGUAGCCAGUAUGCAUCUUGCUACCUUUUCCCUGUUACUCAAUUUAUCGAGAGGCAGGCCGGUAUAAUGGAAAGCGAUCGGCCAGCUUUGUGGUCAAAGGGAUCUCAGUUUAUACAUACUCUCAGCUUCUUAAAUAGGUGGGUGGCCUUGGAAAAAUUGCUUAAUCUUUCUGAGCCUAAAUUUCUUUAUCUUUGUAAUGGUGAUAAUAAUUCUUUCAUUGAAAAGUCAUUUCAAAGAGAAGCACUAAUAAAAUUGCCAAGCAUUCAGCCCUAUUAAAAAAAAAAAAGCAAUUAUAUUGAUCUAUCUGAAGACCACCCUGAUUUCUUGCUUUCCUUUGACUAUUGAAUUUUCCUUUUUCUUCCCCAUUGAUACCUUAAGCUUACUAAAAUGUCUUUUUCUCUAAAAUACAAGUAUUGCCCUUCAGUUAUCAUUCUAGAAGCUUAUUUUCUCAGCCUGAGCUCCCUUAUAAAUAUGCUAUAUAAGGGCCAGGGCAGGCUUUGGUAUGCUUUUUAGCACCUAAAAUGAAAUUGUGGUGCAGGCACCCCUGGUAGAUUGCAGUCAGCUCUUCCUGGUAGGGAAACAUAACUCCCACAUGGACUGCAUGAAAUGGUCAGUAAAAAUUACAUAAAAUAAUUUAUUAAGAUUUUUUUCUUCUUAUGGUGAAUUCCGUAGCCUCAACUUGGAAAGCAGCAAAUGGCCUAUUGUAAAAAUAAUACCAGGGCACCUCGUCUCCAGGAAUGGGCUGCCUAUUCAAGUGAGGCCAAUUAACUCCUCCAGGAGCUGGGAGAACCAUACAAUGUAGGAAAAAUAUAGUUUAAUUGAAUGGUACUCUGGUCUUCUGGAGGAAAAAUUCAUUUAAUACAAGGAGUUAUUUAUCCCUAUAUGGUAGUUUACAUAUUAGGAUUUACCGGAGAAAUGUUCCCAAAGUGACCGUCUUGUAUAUGGGCAAUGAAACAAAUAUGAAAUAGGAAAGAGGUAAAAAUUAAAUCUUUUCUUCUUUUGGCUUAACCUUUAGGACCCCACCUGAAAAACAAUUCUGGCAUAGAGGCUAAGUGUAGGAGACCUCACGAAGCCUUUGGUUUUCAUGUCACUGUUUAGAAAGGAAGCAAAUACUUGAUAGGAAGUUCUCAGUUUUUUGAUCUGUGAAUCCCUUUUCUUCCAGCUGAUUCAUUUCUAUUGCCAUUCAAACACUGUGGGAUUUGAUUUCAUUUAGGUUUGGAUUUUGGCCAGGUGGUCUUUGACCUGGAGUGCCACAACUGUAUUAAGAGGUAGUAAAGAUGUGCUUUUCUAUAUCUUGAGUCACUGCUAUUCUAUUAGUUUACUUUACUUUGAUAGAGAAAUUGGCUAACGCUAUACAAAACUCUCCCCUUCCCUGGAAUUCAGAGAGCAGCUUAUUUAUAUGUAGAUGUAGCUAUAUGACAUUUUCAAAUGCCAUACAUUUGCAUAUGAAGGUCUCUUUUUUCCCCUCUCAGUAAACAGGCUGUGCUAUUACUUCCAAAGCAAUGUUUGGAAUUAUAUUUUCUAUACAAGUUCUUCCUUAAAAUGUUUUUUAAAUGCCCAGUAGAGAUAAAAAAAAAAAAUUAAACCCUCUAACUAGGAUCCAUUUUGUCAGGAGUGAAAAUUUUUAAUUUAUGAUUAAUAUAUAUCUAUAUAUAUCUCUAUCUAUCUAUCGAUCUAUCUAUCUAUCUAUAUGUUUUAGCACCUGUAUGUGGCUUUGCAUUAUAAGUUGGUUAAAUAAUAUUAGUAUGGUUAGAAUUUCUUGAGAAGAAAGCAAAGAGAUAUUAAUUUGGUAUGGAGCUUCCUUUAAAAUUUUAUGUAGUUUGGUUUCUAGAGAGGUAGCUCUCAGUCUUAUUCGUUUACUCAACAAAUAAUUACUGAGAGUCUACUAUUUGUCAGGCAUUCUUUUAGGCACUGCAUUUACAGGGAGGAGCAAGACAAAUUCCCUGCCCUCAUGGAGUUUCUAUUAUGAGAAAAGAUGACAUAAAAUAAAAAGGUAAAAGCAUAAAUACAUAAAUAAAUCUGCUCACAUUAAACACAGUGAAGGAAAUAAUACACUAUUGGCAGAGAGAAUGCAUGGAGUGACAUGGACAGGAAAGAGAGUGGCCCAGCAGCCCUACCCUGGAAGGUGUGAAGGGCAGGCCAGGAGACGAUGAGGAAGCACAUCUUUGUGAGCACAGAAAACAACCAGGGCAUAUUGUGUUAGGCCCCAGUGUACAGAAAAAUAAGUGUUGCAACAGGAACAACAUUUUAAAAUACAACUCUCACAGUGAAAUCAUUAUUCAUCUGGCAUUAAAGAAAAACAUGAAGCAAGAAGAAAGGAAGAAAACAAAGGAGAAAGAAGCUAAUGAGUGUUUUCACAAUUUCCAUCUGCUUCCAGGGCUUCUUGUUAUUUGCCCCAUGGUUACCCAGGUAUUUAUUUGGUCAUCUUUGCUUUUUCCUCCACUUGAAUUCACUGCCACCCCCAGCGUCUGCCUCUACUUGAGGGUUACCACAUAAUCAUUUCCAUGCCCUCUUCUCUCCAGACCUCCAGUCAUCUAUGUUGAUGAAGACAUCAACAUAGAAAUGAACAUAUUCAUUAUUUGGCCCCGAGUCCUACUCUUCCUGAUACUUUUUUCCCUAUCUAUCUUAGGGAAUGGAACUGUCAUUCAUCUAGGCAGCCAGAUGAACCAGGAACCUUCGUAUUUUUCCUGACUUUCCACUUCUCUUUGCCUGGUCAGUUAGCAAAUCUGGUAACCUUUUAUCUCCUAAAUCCAACUAAAAUCUAUGUAUUUCUCUCUGUUGCUACCAUCAUCCACAACACUCAUUCUUCAUUGUUAUGACCGUAGUCUUCUAAUUAAUCUUGCCUAAUGCCCUCCCUCUCUAGCCUGUUCUUCACUCUGCUGCCAGGUUUUUUUUUUUUAUUUAAUAAAAAAUACGACAUGAUUUAAAAUACCUUAGUGACUCCCCUAUUGAGCAGAAGAUAAAUUUUAACUUCUAUUGCAAAUGAGGAAAGAGACUUAAUUGAAGCAACAAACUACUACUCUCACUUAGCUCCAGUUGCUCCACUUUUUCAUUCCAUGCUUUAGCCAUGAAACUAUUUGUCAUUCCCUGGGCAUUCCCACUCACUGAAGCCUCUUUGCCUUUUAAAUGUUGUUCCCUAUGUCUAUAACAUUUUUUCUCUUCUCUGCCAGGCACACUCAAUGCAAACACUACCAUUUUCUGAAACACUCUUGACUUCCCUUGUUGCCAGUUAUAGUUACACACAUCAGCUGGAAUCCCUGUUCUAUUGCAUCAACAUUUCUGAGCUAUGCUUUCCUCAUUAUACCUGAUCCCCAGGCAGGUUGUGAAGAGAUGAGAUAGCGUGUUGUAUAUAUAAUGCAUGACACAAAGUAAAUGCAAAAUUAAAUGUGUUUCUAUUAUUUCUACUUUAGCAUUCUUAAUGCUUUAUUUUCUAUUUGCCAUAAAAGUUAUUUGAAUAAUUAUAAUUUGGCAUAUGUGUAUUUGUUUGAGUAACAUGGGUUUCUGAAUAUAAAGUUAGAGAAGCUUGGGUGCAGUUUGCCCCUGAAUUUCCUUAUUUCCAAAAAGUCAUAACAAAUAUUACCAGCAUCGGUAAUACAUUUAUCAAUCCUCAUAAGGAAAUUACUAAUUAAAAUUCUGAUCCCAACUAGCUAAUUAAAUCAUAAGCUCCCUAAGCCCCUUCAUCUUCCACAUGAAUAGAUUUCGUAGGUCUUAGGUUGCUUUGUUAUAUCUGCCGCUUUGAAGUCCUGGAUACCAGCAAGCCUAAGAACCAGGACACGUGACUUUAUGAAUGUCACAGUUAAACUCAAGUCACUUGAUACUGUCUGAAAAUCACUGGUACUUUUCUAGGCUUACAAUUUAUCAUUUUGAUGGUUUGGGCCAGCAACGUUGACUACAGCAACAACAAUUCUGAAGAGACACUCUGAAUUUGCUACCCAUUUUCAGGAUUCUACCAUAUCCAUAUUUAUGCAAAUUCUGGGAAAAGUCAUUAUUUACCAAGGACUGAGCACUUCAGUCCAUGGCUUUAUGUGUCAUUAUUGUACAAAUUAAUAGAAAGGUAGGCUAUUAUAUGAAACAGACAUUAGAGAUUAUCUAUCUAAGAUCUGUAAUUUACAGAUAAGAAAACAAAGACUCACGGAGGUUAUGGUCAAAUGUAAUACCUAAUACAGGUCUUCCUCCUGAGGAUUAGUGUAUAGCAACAACUAGAACCAAGGGUGCAUUAAAUCUCAGUUCUGAGAUUUUCCCAUCUACAUGGAAAUGCCUCACUUCUAAGAUAUUAUAACCUGUUUCACAGGUGUUAGCACAAGACAAUGAAAACAGGCAAAAAAAAAAAAAAAGUCAAAGAGCAUGGAGAAAGUUACACUAGUUUCAAAAUUACAUUAGAUGUAAAAUACAAAUGUUAAAAAGUGACUUGACACCAGUGAACAAUUUGACUGACUAGCUAGUUUUAGAAGUUAUGAGUUUUAUACUAAGAAUAAUAGAUGAGACAUACCAAGAUAUUGCUUGAGUUUCUCAUGCUACAUCAUAUUUUUCUAUCAAAAUUUCCAUUUCAUUUUAAAUUUUGAAUGUAAUAUAAUAUUACUAGGCAUUUGAGUAUGUACAGUUUUAUCAGAACAGCUCUUCUUUGACUCCUUAAUUUUAAAAGUUUUGUUUAUUUGUAAGGUGUGUUUUAACCUCUUAGAACAAUUUCCCAAGAUAGAAAUAUGGUGGAUUUUAUAAUAAAAGUCAUUAGAAACAAUAAUUCAUUUACCAGAAAUAAGAUUGAGGUGGAGCUUGCAGUAGAAAUGGGAGUCCGAAAUGUCUGCAUAUUCUAUGAAGCAUGAGGGGACACCGAGUGUAGCAAUUUAUUGGUGGGAACUCUGGCCUCCAGUAGGAUUCUACUGUCUCCUAUUUGACAGUUUCAAAAACAUCCUACACUCUAAUGCUUUAAAAACACAAUGCAAAAGAGGAAUGACCAAUAAUAGACAAUGGUAGAUCAGGAUAAUAUUACAAAUUGGAUGAACUGACAGGCAGGUGGUGAAUAAUUUUAACAUGACCCUAAAAAUAGUGGAAGGAUGUUUGCACAUUGACACUUCUCUAAAGGCAGAUGGAUAUGCAUGACCUGAGUUUUUAGACAGGUGUCAGGAAUAUUGAUGGGUAGUACAAGGAUGAUCAUUUUCUUGGCACUGUUGCAGUAGACAGUUUCCAUGAUUAAUGAUGCAUCUUAGCCUUUUUUUUUUUUUCUCCUGGGGCAAAAAGGGAUAUGAACCUUUGUUACUCCAAGGAAUGUAAGAAUUUUGCCUGAAGGCUAAGGCAGGAGAACUUUAGUCACCUAAAAGCACCAUAUGCUUUCUACAGGUGAAGAAAUAGUGGUAAAAUAUGCAAGUGCUCUUGAUAUAUAAGAUGACAGUGCCUGGUAGAAUGAUUAUAACAUGCCUCUUAUUAAGAGGGGUCUACCCCAGGGCAUAGGAGCCUUGCACAGCUCUGAAGUACAGAGCCCAGUAAACCUGGGCUCUGACAAAAGUGACAGCAAACUGUGGCUCUGGGAUACAUCUGAACACAUACAAUGUUUGAAUGAAUAUUAAGAACCACUCAAAGGAAACAGAACAGGACUAAAGCAGGAAAUAAGAGGUGAGAUCAUCUGCCUAAUGUUUAUAUUCAUUUCAAGUUUUUAGAGACAAUUUUCUGAUUCAAAUCAAUUCAAUAUCGUUUCUAAAUGGUGAAUCCAGUGAGAAAGAACUUUUCUUUUCCAAGAAUAAUAUUGUUUGUUCAGCUUUUUAAAAUGUCACAUACAGCAAUGAAUGAACUAUGCUAUUUCAAGGCUCAAAAUGUAAUCCAAAGUCGAAUAAUAGUUUGUAUGUAUUCUGCUAAACCCUAGUAGUCCAUCUGCUGAAAAUAUUAUGUUAAUUAAAGGUAAUAUAAGCUAUGGAGGUAAACUUCGUAAGUUCUUUUUUUCUUUUAUUUUUCUUUUUAAAGUAAUAAAGGGCACUGUUGGAAAUCAAGUCCAGUGAAAAAAUUUUGUUAAUUAAAAAAAUGAAUUUCCUUUUUAUACAAGGGAUAUUAGCUAUUGGAUUAGGUGAUCAAGAAAACUUAGAAAAUCUGUUUUUCCAAAGUUAAUCUAAGUUUCUCCAAAUAAAUUUAAAAACAGGAUAAAGUCUCAUAUAUAUGAUGGGAGGGGUUAGAAUUUAAUCUUCCUGAACCCCAGUAACUACAUUGGUGACUUCCUUACUUUCUGUUUAUCCAGAGAGAGAACAAGAGCUACAACGUAAAAUCCUUCCUUUGAUGAUACUAGAAAAGUUUAUGUUUCUAUUCAUUGAGAAAAAAAUCUCAAUGAAAUCCCUGAAAUGAGGGAAUGAAAUGUAGGAACGAUGGGGUAACAUGCUCUUAACAUUUUAAACUCAUAAAUUUAAUGGGCAUUACUAUUACAUUCAAAUUAUAUAAUAGAUUUCUUUUCUAAGGCUAAAUAAUAUCAUCUUAGACUAACAUAGUAUACUUUGUGCACACAUUCUGAAACAUUCUAAACAUGUUGAGCCCAAUAAACUCGUCCAUUAGUUAGAAACCCAUUAGGGGAGGGGAAAAAAACUCAUUGUAAUAAUAUGAACAGUUGCUCCAAAGAGCCCUUAUCCUUUUGGGAAAUGGAGUUUGAAUGAGAUUUAAGCCAAUCAGUGGGGAACAGAACUACGUGGAGCAUAAAUUUGAAGCUUUAUAUAUAUAUUAACAUAUAUCAAAAAAGAGUCCAUCAUCCUUAUCAUCUAAUUUUUAAAAAUAUUACCCAGUUAAUAUACUGAUACACAAAAAUGGGAAAAUAAAAAUGUAGAAUUUAAAAAUCUUCAGUCUGAAUUUUGUUAAGAUUAGAUCAAAUUAUGCUAUCCAAAUGAAACAAUUACUUCUAUCUAGAAAAUAUGAAUUUGAUGACAAUAUGAAAAACACUUAGAAUGAGGCAUAUCCAUAUCCUAAAUCUUUGUCAAUAAUAAUCUCUUACAAUUCCAUAGUGAGUUAUAUCUCACAAAGGGCUUUAAUAUCUGAAACAUAGGAAAAAGGAAAAAAAAGAGAUGUAGAUACAAUAUUUUACAGAUUCUCAGAGAAGUUAUAUAACAUUUAUAAAUUUAGGAGCUAGGUAUAGAAUUUAGUUUUUUUGAUAAUUUGUCCCAAGUAUUUUUCACAAAACCAAAACAUUUCAGUAGGAACUAACAAAUCACAUAUGGAAUAACAUUCACAAAAUAGGUUAUAAAUAAUUGUAUAUUAUUUCACCAGUCUGUAUCAGAGGGAUUUACCUCAGUUUUUCUUUUAAUGACUUUUAGCAUAAAACUAGUGAAGAUAAAAAACAAAACAACUGUUCCAUCUUUCAGAGAUAGUCUGUUUUCACAAGACAUUGUAAGUUUUCUGAAACAUUAACACAAAUUUAUCAGACAACUUAUUAACCAACUCCUCCUUCUUAGAUAUUUUUCCCAGUAAAAGAGCAAUGGUGCACAUACUGUAUGAAUAGGUAGUAGUGUAAUCUAAGACAGAAAAUAACAUUGCUGUGAAAGUUAUUCAUUUGUUUCAAUACUACAGUAAUUAUUGUGGCAAAGUCUUGCUCGUUUAUCAUUUCCUGUUGUCUUUGCUAUUUUUUCAAGCUGUCUUUUUAAACAAAUAUCCUCACUGUCCUUGUUGCAAGACCAAUAACUUUAUUUCAGUAGGUAAGACAGCACACCAAUACAAUCAGGUCUAUUCCUGUUCCAAGGAGGGUCUGUUACUUGGAGCCACCUAACAGUAUUGCACAUUCCUGUCCUUCCCAGAAGAAUGUGACACAGUGUAUCUGGGUACUAAGUUGCCAUUUAAGAACCUCUUCAGGUUCCCCGUCUCCUUGAGCUAUGAAAGUUUUCAUGAACACUUCAGUUUUAAUGGCAUGCCAAACAUUUUGUUCCAUGAGCAACACAACAGUUUUAAAAAUUGCCAUUGAGUGUUUUAAUAGAAUUUAGCCAGUUGUUUUUAAAUAUAUUUCUAUGAGCCAAGGCUUACAAAAAUGUAUAAAGAGGAAGUGCCCAGAUAUAAAGAAGCUUUGAAAUGGUUGCUGUUGCCUCCUUAAAAAUCAUCAUUAAACAAUCUUUCAAACAGUCAGUGUUUGGCUCAGUAAUUUAAUCAAAAUUUGUAAGAAGUAGCUAGAAUGAACAAAAGGAUGACAUGGCUUUGAACAGAAGAAAAGCAGGGACCCAAGUUAUGCAAAUACUAGUUAGGAAUACUGAAUAAGAUAAGCGAUCCAAUUAUGUCUGUGAGACUUUCCUCAAUAACCUAUAACUAAAAGAAAAACAACUUCUUUAGCCAGAUGAAUUUUCAUCAUUCUAAUGAGCCUUUGUAGAGACAGAUAUUGCCUCUUAUUUGUGAAACCUCACAUUUCUAUUUUGGGACAACUAUCUUUUUUUUUUUUUUUAAGUGGGGCCGAGUGUGGUAGCUCACGCCUGUAAUCCCAGCACUUUGGGAGGCCAACGUGGGCAGAUCACAAGGUCAGGAGUUUGAGACCAGCCUGACCAACAUGGUAAAACCAUGUAUCUACUAAAAAUACAAAAAUUAGCCAGGCAUGGUGGCGCAUGCCUGUAAUCCCAGCUACUCAGGAGGCUGAGGCAGGAGAAUCACUAGAACCAGGGAAGCAGAGGUUGCCGUGAGCUGACAUGGUGUCACUGCACUCCAGGCUGGGCGACAGAGUGAGACUCCGUCUCAGAAAAAAAAAAAAAAAAAAAAGUGUGUUUGAAGCAGCAAGAUGAAAUGACUGAGCUGGUGAUCUUCAUUCUGGGAUUUUGUCUCCUUUUGGGGAACGGGAGAAUUCAAGAAUGAUUAGGCAGGCCAACUCUGGACUCCACAAUACCUCCUAACUUCUAGACCUCAUCUAAUAUGUACUUUCCCCUAAUCCCUAGCACCAAAAAGCAGGAUUUUAAACACAACACGAUUGACAUUCUGGCUGGAUAAUGUUGUCCUGUGCAUUGUAGGAUGUAUAGCCGUAUAUCUGGCCUCCACCCACUAGAUGCCAGCAGUACUUACCCCUGCCCCUUCCCCAGACAAUCAAAAAUGUCUCCAGAUAAUGCCAAUGUCCCCUGAAUGGGAGGUGGGAGGGAAAUGAGGAGGAGGAAGGUUGGUAGAGGCAAAAUUGAGAACUGCUGCCAUAAGGUGAUGGUCAACAAUUUUCCCUCAAUCAUGAUUUCUGAACUAAAGCUAUAUACUUUGUUAUAGACAUCGAAAGUUGGAAAGACAACAUCAUAAUCUUACUUUCUUUUUACUUUUUUUUUUUUGAGACAGAGUCUCACUCUGUUAUCCAGGCUGGAGUGCAGUGGCAUGAUCUUGGCUCACUGCAACCUUGGACUCUGGGGCUCAAGCUAUCCUAUCACUUUAGCCUCCUGAAUAGCUGGGACUACAGGCGCAUGCCACCACACCCAGCUAAUUUUCGUGCUUUUUGUAGAGACAGGAUUUCACCAUGUUGCCCAGGCUGGUUAAUCUUACUUUCAAAUGUUACUGAUGAGAAAACAGGUUCUGAGAAGCUAAGUAACUAAAUUUAGAUGAAUUAGAACAGAGAUGAGACUAAGUCAAAAGUUCUGCAUCCUACUCCAAGCUCUUCUGCAAAAUGCUAUUUGUAAGUCAUUGGCUCUAAAAUCCAAGUGAAAUUAAAAAUAUGAUUAUCCAUGUCAUUGGAGAAUAGCCUUGUAGAGAAUCCAAAACAACAGAUAACACACAUAUAAUUUCUAGGUGAUUUUGGAAUGAACUAAAAUGAGCCUAUUCCAGUGGUAUUAUUUUCCUGAUGAUUAUAAUCAUGAUGAUAAUCAUGAGUAUAAUGAAGAUGAUAAUGGUUUUCUUAGGAUAACAUUACAAUUAGCUAUGUUUCCUGAGUACGUAUCAAUUCAUGGCUAAGAUGAACAGCUCGGAAGUAUGUUAAGCUGCAGAAAACAACCAGCUUCAAUAUUAGAAUAUAGCACUGACAAUCUACUUAGACACAUAAGCAUUAAUAGUUGCCUAUCACUGUUGAUGGAAUGUUAGGCUUACUCUUAAUUUUUCUACAUAUAGAAGACAAUGUGGACACUUUAUUAAAACCAUCUUACAGAUAAGUUUCCCUGGUCUGCCUGUUGGUUGUUUCUCAUGCUUCUAUAGCUAUAUUUCAUUAAAAAUCAAAAAUCAAUAACAAAGGCCUAUGUGCCAGCUGUAGGGAAUGAGUGAGUGGCUAGGGGUGUGAGGAUAGCUCAGAGAUUAUUUCAAACAACAGGAAACCUUCAACUUCCCUGGUGCUCUUUAAAUAAUAGAAAAGUAAAUAGGAAAAAAUCCAGUGGUGCAAGAUUUGUAGAAUAAUUUUGACAUUACACGAACAGCCAAUCUGCAGAAGUGAAUUUGGAUGUGUACUGCCUGACAAAGCACUGAUCGCUUGUUCGUUUAAAGUCUAUAGACUAAUAACAUGGUCUUUCUGGAAUACUGACUUUCUAGAGGACAAAUGGAGCUUGAUUUUAGUCUCCAUUUUAUGAAUACUUAAAAACUAUUUUUUUUUUUAGCUAAACAGACAUUUAUUUUCAUUAGUAAAUGAAAUUUUUAAAGACAUACUUUUGGGAGGGAGUUUUCUAAUCUAUGACACACACAGCUUUCAACCUCAGAAGAUGUGAAAGAAAGAUUAAGGCAGAGGUUUUUUUUUUUUGUUUUUUUGAAAAUCAUGUGAAAUAUAUUUUACAGGAACAUUACGUAACGCUAUCAAACAUUGAUAAUGCAUCAAUAACUCUGCAGAAAUGCAGGAUAAUUAGUACAUUCACUCUGUGUUUUAUUAAGUUAAACAUUAACAACGUCACCAUAAAAAGCAUUUGCUAGCAUAAAUGCUGAUCUACCAUAGGAAAAAAUAUUCACUUUUCUUUGUUAUUGGCCAAACCACUUUAAACUAUAUGUUAAAAAAUGCCUUUCAAAGUUAACUUUGUGAAAAAACAUUUGCAGGUUUCCCAUUGCAGAAGGACAUAGCAAUCCAAUAAGGACUGAGAUAUAUACUAAAAUGGUCAUUUCUUGGGGGCUACUGAGCUACAGAUCCCAGAGGAGCUCAGGCUUAAAGUCAUGAAAUGGCUUCCGUGAAACCAGGCCUCAAUUUUAUCCUGAUUAAAUUUACUAUAUCUGAGAACACAGGUGGACUGAGUGGGAGGCCACCCAGAAAUGGAAACUCAGACCAAGGAUGGUCAGGUCAAGAAUGUUAGAGCAAGUUAUGACAGUUGGGGAGGAGGUCCUAGCCAAGGACACUUAUUUAUCCUAAUUUGAGGGCAGUGGAAUCCCUAUUGUGUUGACAUUUGCAUCAGGCUGUUUUAGCUCGAUGCCUUGAUGCCCUAAACAUCUAAAGAAUAUAUGCUCUAGUUAGGCUUACCAAGUAACCUCAGUAUAACUGGGCUUCUCAGGCAAUUCAACUCUAGGAAGAGAAAACACUGGUCAGAGGAUGUAAAUUGUCUGUGAACAUUAACAUUUCUGAGUGAAAAUUUAGAUAUCUGAGUCCACAAGUCUGAGAGCCAUACCUGCCCUGAUCAUGAAUUUAGUCACUAUCCAAAGUAUAAUUCUGGCAUAUCCUGUCCAGUUAUCCAUCUUGCACCAAAUCAUCAGACCCACAAUGUGCUGCCCUUGUUGGUUCUUGGCCCUUGAUUAAGCCCAUUUCUCUGCCCCCCAACUUCCAAAAACUUCCCAAAGCUCACCCAAAACUAUGCUCCAGAACUGGCAAAUUCCCUUCUAGCCUCAGAUGCUUCAAUGAAAUUCUCACCUUUCUUCUUGCAUACUGAAACACUAGAUUUUUCUGAGAAUACCAAACCCCUUCCACCCUCUCACAAAGUGGCUGUAUAUUCUACCCUCCUCCCCUGCACUUCAGGACUCAGAGGUGGAGUACUGUCCUCCUUAAUCCUCAUUACUAUUCCUAGAUUACUAGGCCACCACUUCCCUCAAGCCUUAGCACUGAUUACUACAUUCUUGUUAUGCCUGGAGUUUGGUCCACAAGUUUGGUUCCUUUUGAUUACAUCCAAGUUCAAAAGUAAAAGUGUGUUUUCUGAAUGAACAACUGGAGGAAACAAACUACAACCAUGAAACAAAUAGCUGUUUAGAAAUGUAAUUUCUUUGAGACAUUUUGUUGUAUAGAUAUUUUAAGACUUUUUUAGUUGAUAAUGUUUAUAUAUAGUUUCAAAUCAUUAAGAUGUGAGAACUGCAUUUUUAAAGCUCUUGAUAAUGUUGGCUUAUAUAUUUGGGGCAUGUCAGACUCUUUAACAAAAGCAGCAAAUCAAAGUGCUCAGAAUAGUGUGUGUGUGUGUGUGUGUUGUUUUUGUUCGAAAUGGCUUAAAUUCUAUUUACUAGGUUUAUGGAAAACAUUGUGCCUUGAAAUUAUACAGAGCAUUGGGAUAUAUCCUACUCUUCUUUAAGCUUCAUACAUUCUACCUGCACUUACAUUACUCUUCCUAGGAAUUGAAAUAACAUAUACUUGAGGUAAAAAGAUAAAUUAAGGUGGAGAAUUAUGGCAUUCCACUAGCAAUUGUCUAGAUGUUUGAACUCACAUAGCUUUUUUCUCUUCGUCUUCCAUGCUAAAUAGACCUGUCUUUUCUUUACUAUGAGUUCAUUAAAAACAUUUGUUUUGAUCUCUUUGCGGGGUGUGUGUGUGUGUGUGUGUGUGUGUGAAUUAUUGACAUGUGAACAUUAACAUUUCUGAGUGAAAAAUAAUGUUUUAUGUAAACAGAAAUACAUUUCCAUAUACUACAUUCCUUUUUUUAAAUAAUGAAUAUUUAGGUCCUCUAAACAUAUGGACUAGAGUAUAAGUGAUUGACUUUGAAGGUUACAUUGAGGAAAGCAUAUGAUAUCAUCAUUCUGCAGUUGUGUCAUAAGCUAUGUCUUCCUACUGAAUUUCUAUUUGAAUUUCAUGUUGUAAUAAUCUCAUGAUCAUAUUAUAUUUUAUGUGAUCUAAAUAUACCAUACAUAAAUUAUGUUGACUAGAGGAAAACCAGAAAAUUUGCUUUGUGAAUAUUUAGACGUGUUAAUGUGCUGAAAACUUAUAAAUAAGUAUUCAAUAAAUAUUUCUUUAUAGAUGAAUUAAAAAGUCAGCCAAGGUCUCUUGCAACAAGCUGUUAGAUGACUUGGGUAGGAAAAAUAAUCCAGAAACUUCUUGUAAUUGUACGAGUCCAUAAAGGAUAAUAUAUGUAUAACAACUCUGAACACAUAUCAUACAGAUAGACUAUAUUCCAUAAAAUGUGCUCUAUUUCCCAUAAAAAUCAAUUCUCUUCAAUUUUCAGACCAAAAGGAAAGUAACAAUAGCUAGCUUGCUAAUUUGCUUGUUAAUGCCUUACAUGAUGUCUUUUAAUUUAAACUUCAAUCCUUUGGAAGUAGACUUAUUAUCUCCAUUAAACAGAUCAAGAAACUGAGGCUUCAACUAAUCAAGAAACCGAGCCUUCAACUAAUUUAACAAGGUUAAAUUACCACGAUAGCAUGGCCAAUGUUUAAACUCAGUUCCCUCUAAUCUUGUGGUUACAACCGCUAAACCAGCUGCUGCACACUUAUGGCAGAGAAGAGUAGAUAAGUAACACUGCAAGGUGAACGAUUUGUAUCAGAAAGGAGCAUUUCAAAUAGGAAAAAGUGCACAUAAAUGAUGCAGGAUGCGUUUAUGAACUGGUGCAUAAAUACAAAGUUUUCCAGAGUGUCUACCAGGGCCCAAGGCAACUCUUCAGUGGAAAAUCUUCAUCUGUAUUGGAAAUACCAUUUCUAUGUUUAUCUAUAACCAUGAACAUAACAUAAUAUUACAGAUGACUGGCUACAUGAUUUUAUGGGGAAAACAAUGAAAGCACAGAAGUUCAAGAGAGCAGGAAAAAUUGUGAGUUAGAGUUCAUAGAAAGCUUUAUGAAUUUUGCAGCACUCUAAUGUAAAUCCCAGAGGGGAAAAUACUUGCAAUGAGACACUUUCCCUCAGAAAUCUUGAAAAAAUCUUGACAUCUUAAUUCAUUUCCUAGGCUUAAAUAUUCUAGGCUAGUCUGGUGGCACUGUAAUAGCCUGGGCAAACAUUUUUAUUUAUUUCACUGUUGAUACCAAUAUUUGUGCUACAAGCUGCUGCCUGCAUUUGCUGCUAUUUAUUUAUUUCCUACAGAUCAAAUUAUUGGCCCAGACAAAACGUGGUUUCUGGUGAAGUGCUCCUUGUGUUCACGAGCAAAUGGAAAAAGCUUCCAUUUUAAAUGUAGGUUUUUGCCACAUGACUGAAUUAAUUCAUUUUAUAAAUAUGAUAUGAAAUCAUUUGAUAUCCAUGCCUAAAUAUGUACAGUUGAGGCAUAAUCAAGGCAAAUAUUAGGUAAAUCAAGCAAGCACCCUAUUUACACAGGUAGGCAGUCAAAAUGUCAAAAUACUGUGUCCGGUUCCGGCUCAGCCACUUAGCUUCUUUGAGACUCAAUUUUAUUUCCUCUAGUAUUUGUACCCUUAGUGCUUUAUUGGGUUGACAUAGAAGAAAUGAAGCAAUGUGAGUGAAUCUUAGUAAAGCUAUGACAUAUCACAAUAUGGCUAAAAAUUUUUACUUUCUGUUUAUUUUUAUUUUUUUAUUAAUGCAGGAUUACUCAGUAGCAAACACUUUCCUCUUGCUUUCUCUUCUCUAUGUGGAAAAAUAGGAAACAGAAGAAGGAAAAAUUUAAAAGCAAACAUUAUAUCACUUAUAGGAUGCUUAGAAUAUAUAGAUUUGAGUAACUCUUUUGAGCAUCUCACAAAACGUAACAUCAUGAUGAAAUAUUUUUGGGUCUGGAACUGCCAAAUGGUUAACGCUUAGGGUGCAGAGUCAGUCCCAAAGCUGGGACUUGUUAGAUAGUGACACUUCUUCCCUGGUCCUCACACUUGCUGGAUUCUGGAAUUAGCAAUGAUGGUUUUAACCUUAGUUCUAUCACAUUCUCUUUUUAUUUAAUCUCCCUGAACCUCAUAUCUCACCUGUCAAAAGCAUAUAGUAUCUCUUUCACAUGUUUGUUGUGAAGACUGAAGGAGACAGUAUAUAUGAAAAGGCUUUGUAAAUUGCAAUGGCUUCUACAGAGAACAAGUUAUUAGGACAACUCACUUAAACUAUCUAGAUACCCUUUCCAGAUGUCAGCUUCCUUUAAUGUGGAAAAACGGGAUGUUACUAAUAGGAUGGACAGAAUGUCGUUUAACUAUUUCUGAUUUCUUUCUUCCACAUUUCAGACCUGAGAUUAAUGUAUAAAUUAUUGUUUGAAGAUGAGGAAUGGAAAUUUUCCUAAAAAUAAAUAUUACAAGAAAUAAUGAAUUGCCACAGUAUAAUGUUCAACAAGUAAACACAGGAACUCGACGCAGGCCUGUAGCUAGACUCAGAGAUAGGGAGGCCCUGUCUCCCCUCCGAGGACAUGAAAUCCAGGACUUACAUUUUUCACGAACAGCCAGGGGAAAUAUCUUCUCCCCACAUACAUACUAUAAUCCAGCAUAGUCUUUAUCUUAACUUUACUCCUGUUCCUGUUCAACCUAUGUAUCCAUGAGGAAAAUAAGCUCAACAUGCUCCUCCUCAUAGCUAUUUCCUCUGUAUUUUUUCCAAUUUGGAAAAUUGGAAAUACCCAUAAAUGAAAGUCAUUACUUUAGUCUGUCAUAGAAACACUGUCCUUGAGUUAUACAUAUUUUAAUUCUAUGCUCUAGGAUGUUGUCAAAAAUUGAUUUUAAAAAUUCCCAGCCAUACGGAGAGCCUCUUGGCGUAUUUUGUAAAAAUCAUUGUUGAAGAUUUUAUUCAUUUUAUGUUUUUCACUGAUGCCUUGUAGAAAGAUCUAUGCUAAAUAGUUCCUUUAUAAUUUAGCAUAGAGAAACUUUGUCUUUUGUCUCUGAACUUAUUUUUUAUUUUUUAUCAGACAAUAAAAAUCUAAGUUUCAUUUAGCAGAUACCUAUGUUGACUUGUUCACCUUUGUAAAACCCCAGGACAGGGGCUUGCAUAUUGCGGUGACUGCAAAUAUUUGUUGAAUGAAUUGAUUCAACCAUAAUUUCUUCUUUUGUAUUGGUUGCAAAGAAACUUAGGGCUAAAUACAGUAACUGUAAUAGUCUGUGUUGCUGGUAUAUGUAUUUUCUUUAACAAUUCUGAUUUUAUGUUUUCAAUUUCUAUUUAAACAAUUUCAAUUUAAAAAAUAUGGAAGAAAAAUACAAAUGUAUUUUAAUUAUAAAACACUCCAAACUCUGAAAACUGGUGU